AUAAUAAUAAAGGGAAGGUUUUGUAAUAUACUAAAUAAGAGAAUGGGCAAGAGAAUGAGUGAAAGGCCUUCAUUCAUUUGUUUCUAUCUUGUACCUUGUCUUUCUAUCAAGAUCCAGCAGUUCAAUACCUCUCCUUCACUACAUUUAUGAUCCAUCCAUGAGCUGAACAGGAUGUGCACAAUUUAUAGGCCAAGCAUUUGAUUAAGUUGCUAUGGAGGAGAGAUUAGAGGAAACUUUUCCGAGAAAGCGAUGAUGUGACUAUCAUGGUGAACUCCCAGUGUUUGGCAGGGCUUUUGUGUGUCUACUCUCAGGUCUUGGAACUACCAACCCUUUGCUUGGGAUUCUUUUUGGUCCUCGAUGAUUGUGCUCUUCUGUUUGAUGCAUCAUCAUUGACAGCGUUUUUCUGCUUCAUGUUGCUGGCAGCUCUGGGGCGCAACCUA